rnacentral:rRNA from 1 species
AGAGUUUGAUCAUGGCUCAGAACGUACGCUGGCGGCACGCCUAACACAUGCAAGUCGAACGAAGUAGCAAUACUUAGUGGCAGACGGGUGAGUAACAUGUAGGUAUCUGCCCUUUGGCCUGGAAUAACACGAGGAAACUUGUGCUAAUACCGGAUAAGUCUUUACGGAGAAAGCUUUAUGCACCAUUGGAUGAGCCUGCACUUGAUUAGUUUGUUGGUGGGGUAAUGGCCUACCAAGACUGUGAUCAAUAGCUGAUUUGAGAGGAUGAUCAGCCACAUUGGGACUGAGACACGGCCCAAACUCCUACGGGAGGCAGCAGUGGGGAAUCUUGCACAAUGGAGGAAACUCUGAUGCAGCGAUGCCGCGUGAGUGAAGAAGGCCUUUGGGUUGUAAAGCUCUUUCGUCGGGGAAGAAAAUGACUGUACCCGAAUAAGAAGGUCCGGCUAACUUCGUGCCAGCAGCCGCGGUAAUACGAAGGGACCUAGCGUAGUUCGGAAUUACUGGGCUUAAAGAGUUCGUAGGUGGUUGAAAAAGUUGGUGGUGAAAUCCCAGAGCUUAACUCUGGAACUGCCAUCAAAACUUUUCAGCUAGAGUAUGAUAGAGGAAAGCAGAAUUUCUAGUGUAGAGGUGAAAUUCGUAGAUAUUAGAAAGAAUACCAAUUGCGAAGGCAGCUUUCUGGAUCAUUACUGACACUGAGGAACGAAAGCAUGGGUAGCGAAGAGGAUUAGAUACCCUCGUAGUCCAUGCCGUAAACGAUGUGUGUUAGACGUUGGAAAUUUAUUUUCAGUGUCGCAGCGAAAGCGAUAAACACACCGCCUGGGGAGUACGACCGCAAGGUUAAAACUCAAAUGAAUUGACGGGGACCCGCACAAGUAGUGGAGCAUGUGGUUUAAUUCGAAGAUACGCGCAGAACCUUACCAACACUUGACAUGUUCGUCGCGACUCUAAGAGAUUAGAGUUUUCGGUUCGGCCGGACGAAACACAGGUGCUGCAUGGCUGUCGUCAGCUCGUGUCGUGAGAUGUUGGGUUAAGUCCCGCAACGAGCGCAACCCUCACUUUUAGUUGCCAUCAUUAAGUUGGGCACUCUGAAAGAACUGCCAGUGAUAAGCUGGAGGAAGGUGGGGAUGACGUCAAGUCCUCAUGGCCCUUACGUGUUGGGCUACACACGUGCUACAAUGGUAUCUACAACAGGAAGCAAAACUGCGAGGUUAAGCAAAUCCUUAAAAGAUACCUCAGUUCGGAUUGCACUCUGCAACUCGAGUGCAUGAAGCUGGAAUUACUAGUAAUCGUGGAUCAGCGUGCCACGGUGAAUGCGUUCCCGGGUCUUGUACACACCGCCCGUCACACCAUGGGAGUUGGUUCUACCUUAAGGCAAGGUUUAAAACCCUUGACCACGGUAUAGUCAGCGACUGGGGUGAAGUCGUAACAAGGUAAA